UGAGUUAGUUACAAUUUUGUAAAAUUUCUAAAAACUAUUCUUUUUCUAAACUACGCGCUGUUUUUUCAAUGAACGUUUAACGUCCAUGAAUGUUGACGUCAUUUUUCUUUUUUCUGUGAUAUAAAUUUUUUUCUAAACUACGCAUGUUGUUGGAGAAAGACCGUAAUUUGAUAAAGACCACACUUUCAGCGAUCUGUACAAAGAAAAGAUUGGCUAUGACACCUUAGACAAAGAAAAAGGCUAUGGCUAUGACACCUGAAGAAGUAGUUAAAACAACUAGUUAGAAAUGCUGUAGAAUAUGAAGAAGCUGUUACAGUAGUAUUUGUAUUAGCAUUGCCAGAAGUAGCUGAUACGCAUAUAUUCACAUUUACAUUGGAGUUUUGCAUUUUAUAUAUACAAGAUAAUUAUAAAUUUUUCAAUUCUUUAUUAUUAACCCAUGAGUUAAAAGUAUCAGGA